CUCUUCGGGGAUGAUUAAACCGGCGCACGGGUGAGUAACACGUGAGUGACCUGCCUUUUAGACUGGAACAACUUACCGAAAGGUGAGCUAAUGCCGGAUGAGUUAUAUAAGUGCAUGUUUAUAUAGGAAAAGUUGGGGAGACCUGACGCUGAAAGAUGGACUCGCGUCCCAUUAGCUAGUUGGUAGGGUAAUGGCCUACCAAGGCGACGAUGGGUAGCCGGCCUGAGAGGGUGGCCGGCCACACUGGGACUGAGACACGGCCCAGACUCCUACGGGAGGCAGCAGUGGGGAAUUUUGCGCAAUGCUCGUAAGAGUGACGCAGCGACGCCGCGUGAAUGACGAAGGCCUUCGGGUCGUAAAGUUCUUUCGACAGGGAAGAAAAUGCCUAUAAGUAACUGUGUAUGUAUUGACGGUACCUGUAUAAGCAGCCCCGGCUAACUCCGUGCCAGCAGCCGCGGUAAUACGGAGGGGGCGAGCGUUGUUCGGAGUGACUGGGCGUAAAGAGCACGUAGGCGGUGUUGUAAGUCAUUAGUCAAAGACUAGAGCUCAACUUUAGUAAGGCUAGUGAUACUAUAAUACUAGAGUAUCAGAGAGGAUUGCAGAAUUCCUGGUGUAGCGGUGAAAUGCGUAGAUAUCAGGAGGAAUACCGUUAGCGAAGGCGGCAAUCUGGCUGGAAACUGACGCUGAGGUGCGAAAGCGUGGGUAGCAAACAGGAUUAGAUACCCUGGUAGUCCACGCUGUAAACGAUGGAUGCUAGGUGUUGGGCUUUUAAGUUCAGUGCCGCAGCAAACGCGAUAAGCA
rnacentral:rRNA from 1 species